UCUCCCAACCCUUGUACCAGAG
rnacentral:miRNA from 2 species